GGAGGAUGAAGGUCCUCUGGAUUGUAAACUUCUUUUAUUUGGGAAGAAACCCACGAUUUCUAUUGUGGUUGACGGUACCAGAUGAAUAAGCACCGGCUAACUCCGUGCCAGCAGCCGCGGUAAUACGGAGGGUGCAAGCGUUAUCCGGAUUCACUGGGUUUAAAGGGUGCGUAGGCGGGUAGGUAAGUCAGUGGUGAAAUCUCCGGGCUUAACCCGGAAACUGCCGUUGAUACUAUCUGUCUUGAAUAUAGUGGAGGUGAGCGGAAUAUGUCAUGUAGCGGUGAAAUGCUUAGAUAUGACAUAGAACACCUAUUGCGAAGGCAGCUCACUACACUAUCAUUGACGCUGAGGCACGAAAGCGUGGGGAUCAAACAGGAUUAGAUACCCUGGUAGUCCACGCCCUAAACGAUGAUUACUCGACAUCAGCGAUACACUGUUGGUGUCUGAGCGAAAGCAUUAAGUAAUCCACCUGGGAAGUACGACCGCAAGGUUGAAACUCAAAGGAAUUGACGG
rnacentral:rRNA from 1 species